UACGGGGGGGGCAAGCGUUGUUCGGAAUUACUGGGCGUAAAGGGCGCGUAGGCGGUCUGCUAAGUUGGAUGUGAAAACUCUGGGCUUAACCCAGAGCCUGCAUUCAAUACUGACAGGCUAGAGUUCUGGAGGGGAUAGCGGAAUUCCUGGUGUAGCGGUGAAAUGCGCAGAUAUCAGGAAGAACACCCGUGGCUAAGGCGGCUCUCUAGUACGGUACUGACGCUGAGACGCGAAAGCGUGGGGAGCGAACAGG
rnacentral:rRNA from 1 species